rnacentral:rRNA from 1 species
UACGGAGGGUGCAAGCGUUAUCCGGAAUCAUUGGGUUUAAAGGGUCCGCAGGCGGUUUCAUAAGUCAGUGGUGAAAGCCUACAGCUCAACUGUAGAACUGCCAUUGAUACUGUGGAACUUGAAUUUGGUCGAAGUGGGCGGAAUGUGACAUGUAGCGGUGAAAUGCAUAGAUAUGUCACAGAACACCGAUAGCGAAGGCAGCUCACUAGGCCAGUAUUGACGCUCAUGGACGAAAGCGUGGGGAGCAAACGGG